rnacentral:lncRNA from 1 species
CUUUAUUCCUAAGCAUGACGUACUGACGCCGUCAGUAUUUACUCGUUGUCCAUUUGAAGAAAUUGAACAAAUUUGCAGCCAAAGGGGCUGCUAGGAAACGAAACAAGGCUUAGAAACAUAAUAGAUGUUUGAUUGGUGUACUUGUACUUAAUUGGCAUUGGUCUAUUGCAAGUAAAAGCUUGAUUGUAGCUUGUGAAGAAUGGGCAGUGGCUUGUAAAAGGUGUAGCAUGAGUAUGUAGCUUAUUCAUCCUUGACGAUGGCAGGUGGAAGCUUAAUGAUGGCAGGUGGCAGUUUGCUCCAAGCAUAGGGCGAUAUGGACUUGCAUAGUUUUGAAGCAGUGGAUGCUUAGACUUCUUUGAAAAUUUAAGCUCCCGGAUUUUCUGCUUUAUUUGCCUAUCACUUGGGCGCAGCAAUACUAUGUUUACCAAGACUCUUAUUACUUCGGGAAGUUGUCUUGUUUUUUGAAGAACAUCUUUAAUGGCGUGGUGAAAGCUAAAGGUGGUUUGUCGUAUUAUUUCCAAAUGUUUUGAGUUAACGACGCCCAAGAGAUGACCACUUAUCGGUACUGUUAAACCAAUUGUCCCGGAAGUGCGCUGUGACAGAUCCAUCUAUACUCAGCAAACGCUCACGAGAUGAAUCAAAUUCAUCAUGUGUAGUUGCAAAAAGGGCAGAACGGAAAUGCUGUUGUAUAGCAUGCUUCUUUUCUUUUCCCAGGUUUUUCAGCUUAAGCAGCUUAGCAUCAACGGCCUUCAAGACGUGAAAAUGGCAUAGGAUGUGGGUUGCGCUUGUGAAAUAUUUCGCAAGAGCGGCAAUCUCUACACAAUCCUUAUCGGUAAUCGUAACAGUUGUAACAGAAACGUCAUUGGUCUGUAAAGUAAAGUAAGAUUAGACUUUUGUAAAAUAGUAUGUCAAUCAUAAUAAUUAUUACCUCAGAAAAAAGUUGUAAGCAUGUUGAAAUGGAAUCCACAGUCUCUUCUUUCAUGAAAAACAUCGCGACAGGCUGCCCGUCGCCCUUGUCAUCCGCUAUUAAAAGAUGAUAUAGGGAAAAGCCAGCCUUGGUGGUUUUGUAAAGUGCCGUCUAAUUCUAUUACAUUACCGUAUGUUCUGUACAUUUGCCGCUGCUUUUCCAGCUGGACAUAAAUGGCGGCAACCUCUCCAUCAGCAUCAUCUGACUUCCCUGUCAAUGUUUGUUUGAUGUUGAUCAGGUCUUUGCUGAUUAGAUGACUGCCAAAUUUGUCUUGCAGCAGCUUUCUCACUUUAGUGGGUUGAGCGGCGGAAAGAGUCGCUUCCGCUCCCAUAUGCCUAAAAAGCGUGACAUGCUGUGCGGAAACGGGGUGGUUCUUGGACAACUUCCAUUGAGGCAACGUAAAACUUUUCCUACCUGGAACAGAACGUGAAUUGCACUCUUACUGGACAACCUUGGGGCAUCACAUUCUGGUUUAAUCUAUCAUUCUUCUUGGAGCGGUCCCGAUGUAACCCAUAAUGCGGGCAAACGAACGUUUAUCACGGCGCAGAUAGACCCAUCUACUUUCUUGAUAAAGACUAAAAUCUCCUCCACACUUCCAAAGAACUGAUAUUUGCUCAGAGAACUAAGGACGGAUAUUCUUGGAUGAAAAAUGGACACGGAAUAAGUUCCUCUUCUAGUUUUCUUCUUCCGUUUAUUUUCUUCCGUCCCUCUCUUUCCAUCCAUUGGUUCGCAGCAUAUCAAAGAUGACCUUGAAGGGAAGACCUUUACCUUCCCUUGCGAUCACGUAACAAAAUAACUUUAAGCACGGUCAGCUGGCCUCAAAGACCCUCCGACGCACGCACCCGAAGAGGUGAUUUGCCUUGUAUACCUGUCCGGCCUUACCUUUGGUUACCACAUUGAUGUCCGCCGACAUGCAUACCCUUUUCAUUGUAUCAUGCCAUUAACUAUGUGUACUGCCAUUUUCCGUGAAUGAAAAUUAAUCUUGGUCUUGUAAAUAUUCCCCCGUGAAUGAAAAUUGUAAAUAUUGUCGUGAUGUAAAUAUUGAAAAUACAAAAAUAUCAUUCUAUA